CUGCUGCUUCUUUUUCAAUGUUUUUGUUUGCAGAAAGCACAGUGAUUUCAGGACAGAAAUACAAGUGGUAUUUUAUCUACUGAAUUUUGUUGAAUAAUUUAUGAACACUUUUUAAAAAUAUAUACAUAUAUUAACUUUUAAAGCAAUGACUGGCUGUCAGGUUAGUGUUUCUUUAAAAGUGACUCUCUCCAUCCAGAACAGAAGAUGGUUUUGGAGUAGUUUUCUUUUCUCCCUCACUGGAGCAGAAGGACCAUAAAUGUUAUGAACAAAAACACUGGAAAACUGAACAAUCAAAAAUGUUAAAGGCAUGAAUGCUACGUCUGGGAGAUGAGUGAAUGUCAUUGCAGAGCCAUACCUGCAUGUUUUUGAAGCAGUCGGUGGUGUGAAUAUGAAGGUUUGUUCUUCUGCUCUGGAUUAAACCUGUUUGAAAAUGAAGGAACAAUGAAAAGACUGACACAAUGGCCACUGGAGCUGUUUGGAUGAAGAAGCCUAUAAAUACUGCCUUUACAGAUAUGGCAGAAAAAUAAUUAAAAAAGCACUCAGCUAAUGUGAGACCUAGAUGUGAGGGUGUCCAGUGAAGAGGAUUUAACCCCCAAAGACUGAGCAUUCAAGGCCCCCCGAUUUGAGCCUAACAUAACUGACAGAAAUUGAUGAACAGACAUUUGACCACUCUACAGGCUAUGUGACUUAACUGAAGCAACUGCUCCCUUGACAAUAUGUAUCGAUCCCUUCUGAACAUUUGAAAUGAGAGUAGAUCCAGCUUCAUGUCAUCCUUUCUGCACUAUGCUGGAGCUCCCCUUAACUAUGGGAACACUAAAGGCCAGGCCUUUGGUUUGUUUGUGCCCAGCGGGUGCAUCUGGGGCCCCUGCGGCCCAGCCUGCCCACUCCUGCUCUGCGACUGUGUCUGCUGUGAAACCUAAUGUGACACUAAGACAUCAUAAUCCUCAUCACUGUGCCAGCUUGCCGCUCUGCACUGGAAACUAGCUCUGACAGCCAUGACCUUCCAGCCUGAUUGGACCAGUGACCCCUGACCCUCAGCCAUAGAGAUGGUGCUCAAAUCCACCACUAUUACAUGCAGACCUCUGGACUACUGUAUUAAUACUCUGUCAUGGACACAAAGGGUUUCUGCUUAUGUCUGUAUUUCUUCUCUUAAACCUAUAUUAUCUCAAAUAGGUCACAGUAAUUUAGCUCUUUUUUGCAUCUUUUCUCUGUUGUAUAAUAUUUCUUUGUUUUGAACUCUUUAAAGUUUGAUCAGUAUGAGUUUAUGAGUUUGUUCUGACUGUAUCAAUACCUCUGUCCCAAUCAGGUGCACAUUAGCCUCAACUUCUCAGGCAUCUUUCAUUUCCUCUGCUGUUGAUUGUUCAGCCACUCAGCCCUGAGUCACAUGAUUGUAAUCAGCUGGCGAGGAGGGACAAUAAUGCCAAGAUCCCAUUAUAAUCCCAGGAGGUAUUUGGGAUGCUGUAUUUGCAUGCUGCAGUAUAGAAAAACAUUGCAAUAACACGCUUCAACUCUAAGGUCUGCUGACUUUACCUCGUGACACACUCACCAUCCACUUUGUUAAAAAUCUGAUGAUCUCACUGGUCUCCCACCUACAGUAUCUAGUGAAAACUAAGUUAUCAAUGACACUUCUGUUGAGUGCUUUAGGGCCUGAUUGCUUUAUGACAUUUAGAAGGUGCUUGAAGUACUCUUAUCAAAAAGCCUUUUGGGCUUAUAGGCUGCACACGGUCUGCUAAAAGUCUGUGUCCUUCCAUGUGAUUAUUCAGUAUCGCUGCAGUGUAAUAAUAUCCACUCCAUUUUUUUUAAGAUAACCAGUAAUCUCGUGUGUCUGGUAUGACUUGCUUAAGCAUUCAAAUCAUCUUUCCUCACUUCCCUCAGGGACCCUCUACAUAACAGUUUCUCCUCUUGAUAAAGAGGAUCGGAGACUUGUCAGUUACCUUGUCUUCUUCUCUUGUAUCAGUUAUGUGGUGUUUCCACAGUAAAAUGGGUCAUUCUGUCUUUUAUCUUCCAAAGCCAUGCCAGUAAGUGAAAGCAUGUCAUCUAUCAUCUACUAAAUGUUACCUACGAACAGGCGUAGUGCAGUGCAGUUCUGAACAAAAAAGCUCCUAAAUGCAAAAGUCAGUGAUGUCUGAUUAAAAAUAACGUGUCACCAAUCAUUGAAUAGCCUGCAUACCUCAUUGAAGGCACAGCAAUAGGCCCUGGUACUCUCUUGCCAAGCCUGCCGGUGAGGUGAAGAGGGAGGAUCCAGGUGGGAAUGAAGCCAAGAGGAGAUGAAAUUGACUUGAUAGGACGUUUGUUUCAUCUUCAGCUGUAAAUACAAGUUGAAAUGGAGAGAAAAAAGUCUUUGUUAAACUAUUUUUAUUGUUCUGAAAAUAAAGAAUGAAUGGUA